GGAUUAGCUAGUAGGUGAGGUAAUGGCUCACCUAGGCGACGAUCCCUAGCUGUUCUGAGAGGAUGAUCAGCCACACUGGAACUGAGACACGGUCCAGACUCCUACGGGAGGCAGCAGUGGGGAAUAUUGCACAAUGGGGGAAACCCUGAUGCAGCCAUGCCGCGUGUGUGAAGAAGGCCCUAGGGUUGUAAAGCACUUUCAGUCAGGAGGAAAGGUUGUAGUUUAAUAAACUAUAGCUGUGACGUUACUGACAGAAGAAGGACCGGCUAACUCCGUGCCAUNAGCCGCGGUAAUACGGAGGGUCCGAGCGUUAAU
rnacentral:rRNA from 1 species